AUGUCCUUAUUCAAGAAUUUUCUUUAUUUCCAAGCUGGACUUGGGGUUUUAGCCAAUAUGUUUCUUCUUUUUUUCUAUACUUUCAUAAUCCUAGGUCACAGACCUAAACCCACAGACCUGAUCUCCUGUCAACUAACCUUCACUCACAUAAUGAUGUUCCUCACUGGAGGGAAUAUUUGGCUUACACUGACAUAUUUGAGACACUGUGCAUUGAGAAUGACUUCAAAUGUAAAACAAUAUUUUACUUAAGCAGGGUGAUGAGAGGCCUCUCUAUCUGCACCACCUGCCUCCUGAGUGUUGUCCAGUCUGUCAAAAUCAGUCCCAAAAUUUAAACAAAGACUGAAAAUGUACUUGACCAAUGCUUUCUUCUGUAUUUGAUCUUUCAAUUUGUUCUACAGUAGUAUCCAGAUUUUUUAUGUUGGUGGUUUUACCAGCUUAAGUGAAACCAACCAGAUGAAGGCCACUAAAUCCUGUAUACUCUUUCCCAAGAACUACAUCAUCAGAGAAUUGAUUUUAACAGUGUCAAUCUCCAGAGAUAUUUUUCUUGUAGGAGUCAUGCUGACUACAAGCACAUACAUGUUGAAUAUCUUGUUCAGACAUCAGAGGCAAUGCAAGCAUCUUCAUAGCAUCAACCAUCUGAGAGCAUCCCCUGAGAAAAGGGCCACCCAGACCAUCUUACUGCUGGUGGUUUUCUUUGUGGUCAUGUACUGGGUGGACUUCAUCAUAUCAUCCACCUCAGUCAUGUUAUGAAUGUAUGACCCAGUAGUCCUGACUGUUCAGUAGUUUGUGAUGUGUGCCUAUCCCACAAUUACUCCUUUGGUACAUAUCACUUCUGAUAAUAGAAUAAUAAUUAUGUUGGAAAACAUGCAUUCAAAGCACCACCAGAAAUUUUUUAAAAUAUUUUUCUUUUCUUUAAAGACCUCUU
rnacentral:lncRNA from 1 species